AGUUGCGAAGGCGGCUCUCUGGACUGUAACUGACGCUGAGGCACGAAAGCGUGGGGAGCAAACAGGAUUAGAUACCCUGGUAGUCCACGCUGUAAACGAUGAGUACUAGGUGUCGGGGGUUACCCCCUUCGGUGCCGCAGCUAACGCAUUAAGUACUCCGCCUGGGAAGUACGCUCGCAAGAGGGAAACUCAAAGGAAUUGACGGGGACCCGAACAAGUAGCGGAGCAUGUGGUUUAAUUCGAAGCAACGCGAAGAACCUUACCUAAGCUUGACAUCCCAAUGACAUCUCCUUAAUCGGAGAGUUCCCUUCGGGGACAUUGGUGACAGGUGGUGCAUGGUUGUCGUCAGCUCGUGUCGUGAGAUGUUGGGUUAAGUCCCGCAACGAGCGCAACCCUUGUCUUUAGUUGCCAUCAUUAAGUUGGGCACUCUAGAGA
rnacentral:rRNA from 1 species